rnacentral:rRNA from 1 species
AUUGAACGCUGGCGGCAGGCCUAACACAUGCAAGUCGAGCGGAUGACGGGAGCUUGCUCCUUGAUUCAGCGGCGGACGGGUGAGUAAUGCCUAGGAAUCUGCCUGGUAGUGGGGGACAACGUUUCGAAAGGAACGCUAAUACCGCAUACGUCCUACGGGAGAAAGCAGGGGACCUUCGGGCCUUGCGCUAUCAGAUGAGCCUAGGUCGGAUUAGCUAGUUGGUGGGGUAAUGGCUCACCAAGGCGACGAUCCGUAACUGGUCUGAGAGGAUGAUCAGUCACACUGGAACUGAGACACGGUCCAGACUCCUACGGGAGGCAGCAGUGGGGAAUAUUGGACAAUGGGCGAAAGCCUGAUCCAGCCAUGCCGCGUGUGUGAAGAAGGUCUUCGGAUUGUAAAGCACUUUAAGUUGGGAGGAAGGGCAGUAAGUUAAUACCUUGCUGUUUUGACGUUACCGACAGAAUAAGCACCGGCUAACUCUGUGCCAGCAGCCGCGGUAAUACAGAGGGUGCAAGCGUUAAUCGGAAUUACUGGGCGUAAAGCGCGCGUAGGUGGUUUGUUAAGUUGGAUGUGAAAGCCCCGGGCUCAACCUGGGAACUGCAUCCAAAACUGGCAAGCUAGAGUACGGUAGAGGGUGGUGGAAUUUCCUGUGUAGCGGUGAAAUGCGUAGAUAUAGGAAGGAACACCAGUGGCGAAGGCGACCACCUGGACCUGAUACUACACUAGGU